UGGCAUUUGAAAUUGGACCGGAGAAGUUUAGGACGAUGAGGAUUCCCGAAUUCACACUUUCAGGGUGUCAACUGUCCCCCCAUGACAUUAUAAUAGAAUUGGAUGGGUGUCCAACUGUGUUGCGUAGGGCAAGACCGCCAACACUGAAGCUAUGGAAAUUUCGUUAUAGUAAUGAGGAGGAAGGAACACCUACUACUGCUACAACUACAAGUGAAACAGAAGAUUG
rnacentral:lncRNA from 1 species